GCUUCCUUAGCUCAGUUGGUUAGAGCAUCUGACUGUUAAUCAGAGGGUCUCAGGUUCAAGUCCUGAAGGGGGAGCA
rnacentral:tRNA from 1 species